AAGUAAUAAAAGUAAUAUGGUCAUGGUAAAAAAUUCAGUACAGAAUUCAGUAUAAUACAGAAGAUUUAAGAAGCAAGUGUCAGCUGUGGCUCCACUAAUUAUUUUUAAUUUAAAAAUUUUUUAGCAGCUGGGCGUGGUAGCUUACGCCUGUAAUCCCAGCGCUUUGGGAGGCCGAGGUGGGCAGAUCACAAGGUCAGGAGAUCAAGACCAUCCUGACCAACAUGGCGAAACCCCGUCUCUUCUAAAAAUACAAAAAUUAGCCAGGCGUGGUGGCAUGUGCCUAUAAUCCCAGCUAUGCAGGAGGGUGAGGCGGGAGAAUUGCUUGAACCCGGGAGGCAGAGCUUGCAGUGAGCUGAGAUGGCGCCACUGCACUCCAGCCUGGGCGACAGAGCGAGACUCCAUCUCAAAAAAAAAAAAAAAAAAAAUUUUAGCAUGUUAAUUUAGGGUAUCUAAUUGUUUUGGUGUGUUAUUCUUUUACUUGUGCAUGGUUUUGUUCAUUUUUCAAAAAUUGAGUCCUAGCAUACAUGUAUAUGCAUCAAACUGGAAAUCAGGAGGGCAUUCUAAACUGGUUCUGGAAGAACCAGUAAUUCUCCAAGUAAAAUAAGGGGGCAGGGCAAGGACCUUCCAUGCCGAAGAAACACUGCAGUUGGUGUCAACAUGUGGGGUUUAAAAUGGCGUGUAGUCUUGGAAUGUCAAGCAGGUUAGUAGGGCUGGAGUGCAGGGUGUGAAAUGAAUUUUUGGCCGGGCGUGGUGAUUUGUGCCUGUAAUCCCAGCACUUUGGGAGGCCAAGGCGGGCGGAUCACAAGCUAUAAGUUGCAUGUUUUAAAAUACCUAUGAUUUUCUUAGACUAGGUGGAAUCCUGCAAAUGGAAAUAUUAGGUCAAAGACAUUGAACCUUUUUAAGGCUCUUAAAUUUUGGAAAAGCUCUUUUAAAGAAGAAUCAGCAGGAGUAGGACUAAUUAACUAUGGGACAUGAAGAGAAAAGCAAUACAAAAUGACAAAAUUAAAGCGUGGGCGACAGAGCAAGACUCCAUCUCAAAAAAGAAAGAAAGUCGGGAGAAAUUGUUUGGAGAUGAGGGAGACUUUGUUUUAGGCAUAACCAAGUUGAAAGUGACUAGAACCGAAAAGGAAGUAUGGUACAGGGAGCUGAUGGGCAGGUGGGAAGCUGGGACUUCAAGGAGACAUUUAAAGCACUUACGACAGUAAGGUGCUGGGAUUAUAGGUGUGAGCCACCAUGCCCAGUCGUACUCACAGAUUUUUAAUAUUGUCUUGUAUUCUGUUUGCAAAGAGGAAAAAUUAUUACAUAUAUUCAAAUAAGGCAAUAUUAAAAAAAAUCAUUACCUGGAGUUGCCAGAUUCUUAAGCUUAUAGGCUUUUUUAAUUCUAGGCGCAUGACCACCAACCAAAGGUGAAGAGAUGGGGUCUCACUGUUGCCCAGGCUGGUCUCAAACUCCUGGUCUCAUGUGAUCUUCCCACCCUAACCUCCCAGAGUGCUGGGAUUACAGACGUGAGCCACCAUGCCCUACUGAUACAGUAUUUCUUGAAUUCAUAUAUGAUACUGACACUGGAUAUUUUUUAUUUUUGUAAACUACCUGUUUGCAAAACAGUGGGACAGUUUUAAAAAUUUAUUUUCUGCAAAUUACAUUUAUUACUGUCAGAAUUUAAUGACUAACUUGAUUUUUUUUUUUCACCAUGUUCCCGAGUAGCUGGGAUUACAGGCACAUGCCACCAUGCCUGGUUGAUUUUUGUAUUUUUCGUAGAGAUGGGGUUUUGCCAUGUUGGCCAGGCUGGUCUUGAACUCCUGGCCUCAAGUGAUCCAUUCACCUUGGGCUCCCAGAGUGCUGGGAUUACAGACGUGAGCCACCAUGCCUGAUCGAAACUACUUUUUUGAGGGAUACUGUUUGAGAAAAUACCUUGACUUACAUUUGGGCAUAUAUAAUACUUUAUGUUGAAUUCUUAGCCUCACUAGAUAAAUCCUACAAAAUGUAUAUGUCCAUGUUUUGUUACUGAUGUUUGAAUUACGCUCCACAUAGACAUCUUUCUAGUUAAAGCUUUGCUAGUAAGUUUAAAAUUAAUAAUCCGGCCGGGCGCAGUAGAUCAUGCCUGUAAUCCUAGCACUUUCAGAGGCCUAAGCGGGUGGAUUGCCUGAGGUCAGGAGUUCAAGACCAGCCUGGGCAACAUGGUAAAACCCUGUCUCUACUAAAAUACAAAAAAUUAGUCAGGCUUGAUGGUGCACGCCUAUAGUCCCAGCUACUUGGGAGGGUUUAGUAGAUAGGGUGGGAGAAAGGCCUGGGCAACAGAGUGAGACUCUAUCUCGAAUAAUAAUAAUAAUAAUAAUAAUAAUAAUAAUAAUAAAAUAAAUCUUGUGUAGAACUCUAUUAUGUAUAAAGCGGAAAAGGUGGCUCUACUCUGAGAGAAUUGGCAGUAGCUACAAGGUUGUCUUUAAAUAUUCUUUAUAGUAACUAACACCCUGUAGGCAUGACCAGUAAUAGAAAUAAUUUCCUCUUUUCCUUGGCUCCACUGAUGCCCACUGCCUCUUCUUUGUGAUCAGUUAAAUGUACACUUUAGAUGAUUCUAAGCUUUGUAACUGUACUCUCCUUAAGUUUUAAAUCCCAUUACUGAAAAGCGUAUACAGUUUGGCUAUCAACAACAUGUGUUUGUCCUGUGGAAAUUUUUUUCAAUAAAUAUAUUGGUAAAUUUUUUGGAGAUUUUCUGCAGUUUGAAAAAACUUGAACUAUGUACCCUAGAAAUAUUUAAAAACAUUAAAAAGUUCUAGGGUACAUGUGCACAGCAUGCAGGAUUGUCUUGGCAGUGCGUGCUCUUUUUUGGUUCCGUAUGAACUUUAAAGUAGUUUUUUCCAAUUCUGUGAAGAAAGUAAUUGGUAGCUUGAUGGGGAUGGCAUUGAAUCUAUAAAUUACCUUGGGCUGUAUGGCCAUUUUCACGAUAUUGAUUCUUCCUAUCCAUGAGCAUGGAAUGUUCUUCCAUUUGUUUGUGUCCUCUUUUAUUUCAUUGAGCAGUGGUUUGUAGUUCUCCUUGAAGAGGUCCUUCACAUCCCUUGAAUAUUGUGUAUAAUACAUAUAACAUACAAAAUGUGUGUUAUCUACUGUUUAUGUUAUUGAUAAGGCUUCUGGUUUUUGGGGAGUCAGAAGUUUUUCCUUCAUGCUCCAGGAUGGAGCACGGCCUAUUUUACUUAGUGCCUUCCACUUUUCAGUUGGAGAGCCCACCCAGAGCUAAUCUUAGGGCCUUUGCAUGAGGAUUUGGGAGAGGCUCUUGCUUUCUCCUAUAAGCUUCAAUGGAGAGGAUGUGAAAUAGAGUUGAGAUGUGGUCUUGUAAUGUUGCCCAGGCUGGUUUCAAACUCCUGAGCUUAAAUGAUCCUUCUGCCUCUGUUUGCCAAAGUGUUGGGAUUACAGGCGUGAGCCACUGUGCCUUGCUUGCUAAUGAAAAAAAAAUUUUUUUUUUUUCGUAGAGAUGAGGUCUUGCCGUGUUGCGCAGGCUAGUCUUGAACUCCUGGUCUCUAGCACUCCUCCUGCUGUGGCCUCCCAAAGUGCUAGGAUUAUAGGCGUUAGCCACUGUGCCCUGCUGUAUUUUCUGUUACUUAAAACUGAAAGAGCAACAUUGUUGAUCACAGCCAGAUGGAAACAACUCAGAUGUCAGUUGAUGAAUAAACAAAAUGUAGCAUAUCCUUACAAUGGAAUAUUAUUCAGCAGUAAAAAUAAUGAAGUACUGUUACAUGCUACAACAUGGAUAUAUCUUGAAAACAUUAUACUGGAUCAAAGAAGUCAGUCAUGAAAGACCACUUAUUAAUAUGAUUUAAUUUAUAUCAAAUAUCUGGAAUAAGCAAACUCAUAGAGACAGAAAGUAGAUUUAUGGUUACCUAGAGCUGGUGGGGAGGGGGAAAUAUGGGGCGUGCCUGUUGAUGGGACUGUGGGCUACUACCUGGAGUGAUUCGUUAGGGGAAAGGACCCACAGCCUGUGCAGGAGGAAAAAAGCAUCUCUGAGUACAGGGUGGAUGAGCUGGAUGAGCUGCCGGGCAAGAGCCACGCACACCCAGGUGGGGUGGGCCUGGUUAAGACUGGGUAAUUUAUAAAGAAAAGGAAUUUAUUUCUUUCAGUUCUGCAUGCUGGGAAGGCCAAGGUCAAGGGGUGCAUCUAAUGAGGACCUUCUUGCUGGUGGGGACUCUGCAGAGUCCCAAGGUGGCCUAGAGUAUCACAUGGUUAGGGGGCUGAGUGUGCUAGCUCAGGUCUCUUCCUCUUAUAAAGCCACCAGUCGCACUCCCAGGAUAAUCCGUUAAAAUUCGUUAACUCAUUAAUCCAUGAAUAGGUUCCAUUCAUGAGGGCAGAACCGUCAUGACACAGUCACCUCUUAAAGACCUGCCUCAUAAUACCCACAUUGGGGAUUAAGUUUUAACAAUACAAAAAUUAGCCAGGUGUGGUGGCAUGUGCCUGUAAUCCCAGCUAUGCAGGAGGCUGAGGCAGGAGAAUCGCUUGAACCUGGGAGGUGGAGGUUGCGAGAUGGGGGUCUUGCCAGGCUGCCCAGGCAAGUCUCAAACUCCUGGACUCAAGCGAUCCUCCCGCCUCAGUCUCCCAAAGUGCUGGGAGUAUAGGCAUGGGCCGUCAUGCCCAGCCAUAAUUCUUCCUCCUCCUCCCCCUCCCCCUCAUUCUUCGGCUGAAUAUCUCACUGUAGUUACACAUAUUUAUAAGCCAGUCUGUGGUCAAUAUGGUGGCUCACUCCUGUGAUCCCAGCACUUUGAGAGGGUGAGGUGGGAGGAUCACUUGAGUCCAGGAAUUUGAGACCAGCUUGGGCUAGUGAGACCUGUCUCUACAAAAAUUAAAGAAAAAAUUAGCCAGGCAUGGUGGCCUGUAAUCCCAGCACUUUGGGAGACUGAAGCCGGAGGAUUGCUUGAGUCCAGGAGUUUAAGACCAGCCUGGGCAACAUAGCAAGACCCUGUCUCUACUAAAUUAAAUAAUUAGCCGGGCGCGGUGGCACAUGUCUGUAGUCCCAGCUACUUAGAAGGCUGAGUAGAGGUGGGAGGAUUGCUUGAGCCCAGAGGUGGAGGUUUCAGUGAGCCAUGAUCAUGCCCACUGCACUUCAGCCUGGGUGACAGAAUGAAACCUUAAUCUUAAAAAAAAAAAAAGCCAGUCUAUCUCAUAGCCAAGUAAAAGAUAAAUUAAUUUAUAUUAAUUUUAUGGUUCCCGGGCAGUGUGCAAUAUUUUAUUUCUUCAUGUAGAAUUUUUACUGUUUAGAAAGGAAAUACUGCAGUUGUGAAUGCAGUUGAGAAUGGUUUGAAGCCAAUUAGUAAAUUGGAAUAGUUACUGAUGAUGAAAUACUUACCUCCAGGAAUUUUUUAAAAAACUUUAAAACCUUGGUAAAGGCAUUUGGUGAUUAUUUUGCUGGAUUAGAAAACCUUAGAAGUUUUUACAGCUUUGAUAUAAAGUACACCUGUAGAAAGACUGUCACCUGGUACUUCCCUAAAAGACAGCAGUAAAAUUUUGCACUCUUUUUUAAAAGAAAGAAGUUAAGUUUCAUCUUAAUGUCUAGUCAGCAGAGAGAGGGAAGUCAAAUCCAUAGUUUGGGUAUGUGGGGCUGUGUGGGAGGAGAAUGACAAAGUUAGGGAGAGCAUGUAACUUUUUCAGUGAGAGAAAAGCAGCGUAUAUACGGGGGCAUGGAGGAGAGCGAGAACAAGGUGGAUUCUGGAAGUAAUUUGGUAUGUGUUGAGUUUAAUGUCUUUGUGGAGAGUGUUGGGAGUGGAGACGGGGUUUCACAGGCAUGUGCCACCAUGCCCAGCUAAUUUUUUGUAUUUUUAGUAGAGAUGGGGUUUCACUGUGUUAGCUAGGAUGGUCUCGAUCUCCCGACCUCAGCUGAUCCGCCCACCUUGGCCUCCCCAAGUGCUGGGAUUACAGGCAUGAGUCACCCUGCCCAGCCCUUAUUUAUUUAUUUGAGACAGAGUCUCGCUCUGGCAGCCAGGCUGGAGUGCAGUGGCACGAUCUCGGCUCACUACAACCUCUGUCUACCAGGUUCCAGCGAUUCUCCUGUCUCAGCGUUCCGAGUAGCUGGGAUUACAGGCGCGGGCCACCACACCUGGCUAACUUUUUGUAUUUUUAGUAGAGAUGGGUUUUACCAUGUUGGCCAGGCUGGUUUCGAACUCCUGGUAUCAGGUUCCAGUGAUUCUCUUGCCUCAGCCUCCUGAGUAGCUGGGAUUAUAGGCCUGCGCCAUCACGCCUGGUUAAUUUUUGUGUUUUUAGUAGAGAUGGGGUUUCACCAUGUUGGUCAGGCUGGUCUCGAACUCCUGACCUUGUGGUCUGCCUGCCUUGGCCUCCCAAAGUGCUGGGAUUACAGGCAUGAGCCACUGCACCGGGCCUAUGGUUUUCUUUUUUUUCUGGCCAUAUCCUGCGUGAGAUAAAUCUAUUGCCUUUUCCCCAAUGCAUGCUUUUGUGACAUCAUCCGUUAAUCACUUGGAAAAUACUGGCUGACUGAGUGUUUCACUCUGUCUCCUAGGCUGGAGUGCAGUGGCAUAAUCUUGGCACACUGCAGUUUCCGCCUCCUGGACUCAAGUGAUCCUCCCACCUCAGCCCCCCGAGUAGCUUUGACUACAGAGUGCUAGGAUUACAGGCGUGAGCCACCGCUCCUGGCCAGGAUCGUGUCCUUGAUUCAUGCCAAGGCACUAGUAUUAGCAUCAAUCAAGGCACUAGAAAUACUAGUGCCUUAGCAUGAAUUAGGACCAGGAUCCUGGUCAGGCACGUACCUUUGCUAUUGCACUAUCAAUGAAAAAAGCAAACAGUGUUUUAGUAGUAUUCUCAGGGAUCACAGGAGUUCAUGGCCCAUACUUGGAGAGAUGCCAUUGACCAUUGUCACUCAGUGUUCAGGACUGCUGUUCCUUCCUCUGAAUUCUUCUGGAUAUCUCAGGUGGAUGUUUCUUCCUUCAUUAUUAUGUUAACAAUAUUUAAGACAAUUAGGUGAGCUCCUUGAAGAUGAGAAGUUGUCUCUUAAUCAUUAUAUUCUUCUAUGUUUGGUUCAUAGACCCUGGAUCACAGAUAAUUAAUAAGUGCUUAUGGAAUGAAUGAGGUGAUUGAAAUAAACAGAUUUAAGAACCCCAAAACUAGUUUGGAUUAUUUAACUAGAGGAGGAAUGGCUUUUUGUACCUCUAUUCAAAAUUCCUGAGGGCAUGUAUUUUGGGCAUAGAACUUUGAAUAGUUUACAGUGAUGUUUCAGAAUUAUACAUAAAAUAUGAAAUUAUUCAUCUUUGCUUUAGAACAAAUUUCUGUGACUUAAUUAACGCAAGAAUGGAUCAAAGGCGCGUACUUGAAUAUCUGUCCUUUCAAAACUUUGUAAAAUACAAAUAGACACUUUCUCAAAAUUAUUGAAAAAAUUAGUUUUAAUAGUUAAUGUCAUAACUAUUAUUAUUCCUUUCAAAAUCAGGGACAAUAUUGAGUUGACUGCUCUCCCUUUUUGUUGUGUAGUAUUAUGGUAUUUAGUAGUGUUAGUGCAAUCAGACAAAAACACCCCAAACAGGUUAGAAAGAAGCAAAACUUAUUAUUUUCAGGUGGUAUUAUCUUUUUGAAAAAUCCAAGAUUCUAAUUUGAGAACUAUUAUAACCAAAAAGGGUCAAAAUAAACAGUUCCAAACUACAGGAAAAAAGUGAAAUAUUUCAACAAUAAUUUAUUGGAUAUAUACAAUGAAAAUCAUCCUAUUUACAACAGGAUUCAAAAAUUAUUUCUCUUUCAUAAUUAAGAAAAUUUAACCCCUGAUAAAAGUGAUUUGAACAGGCCACUUAAUUACAACAGAAUACUAGCCUUUAAGAUGGUCUUGUUCUGUCACCCGGGCUGGAGUGCAGUGGCACCAUCUCACUGCAACCUCCACCUCCUGGGCUCAGUCGAGCCUCCCACCUCAGCAUCUCCAGUAGUUGGAACUAGAGACAGACAACACCAUGACCAAUUUUGAAAAUGUUUUGUAGAAAUGAGGUCUCACUGUAUUUCCCAGGCUGGUCUGGAACUCCUAGGCUCAUCCAGUUCUCCUGCUUCUGUCUCCCAAAGUGCUGGGAUUACAGAUGUGAGCCACGACAUCCAGCCCAAGGUUCAUUUUAAAGCUAUGAGUUGAUUUUUGAUAAUUGAAUUAUUUGCUCAUAGUUCUUUUAAAAUCUGAAUGAUAAUGCAAUUGUUUGCUUUAUUAUCUUGUGGCUAUAAAUAAUCAGUCAUGGAAUUGGGAAUUUUUUGUCUUCCUUUAUUAGAAGUUUAAUAAUUAUUUGAUAAUAAGUAGUGUUAUUUAUUUAUUUUUUGAGACGGAGUCUUGCUCUUGUUGCUCAGGCUGGAGUGCAUUGGUGCGAUCUCGGCUCACUGUAGCCUCUGCCUCCUGGGUUCAAGCGAUUCUCCUUCCUCAGCCUCCUGAUUAGCUGGGAUUACAGGCAUGUGCCACCACACCUGGCUAAUUUUUUUGUAUUUGUAGUAGAGACGGGGUUUCACCGUGUUGGCCAGACUGAUAUCGAACUCCUGACCUCAAGUGAUCUGCCCGCCUUGGCCUCCCAAAGUCUGGGAUUACAGGCAUAAGCUACUGCGCCCAGCCAAUAAGUAGUGUUCUUUAAGUUAAUUAAUUUUUUUUUUGUUUUUUUUUUUUUUGGUCUGUAUCCCAGGCUGGAAGGCUGGAGUGCAGUGGCAUGAUUUUGGCUCACUGCAACCUCUGCCUCCCGAGUUCAAGUGAUUCUCCCGCCUCAGCCUCCUGAGUAGCUGGGAUUACAGGCAUGUGCCACCAUACCUGGCUAAUUUUUUUGCAUUUUUAGUAGAGACUGGGUUUCACCAUGUUGGUCAGGCUGGUCUCGGACUCCUGACCUCAAGUGAUCCUCCUGCCUCAGCUUCCCAAAGUACUGGGAUUACAGAUGUGAGCCACCGUGCCCAGCCAAACUGUAUACGUAUUUUAAUACCAGAAACAUCAGGGCUAGGCGCAGUGGCUCAUGCCUGUAAUCCCAGCACUUUGGGAGACUAAGGCGGGUGGAUCAUGAGGUCGGAGUUCGAGACCAGCCUGGCCAACAUGGUGAAACACCGACUCUACUAAAAAUACAAAAAUUAGCCAGGCAUUGGCCGGGCGUGGUGGCUCACGCCUGUAAUCCCAGCACUUUGGGAGGCCAAGGUGGGUGGAUCACGAGGUCAAGAGAUGAGACCAUCUGGCCAGUGUGGUGAAACCCCAUCUCUACUAAAAAUACAAACAUUAGCGAGGCAUGGUGGCGUGUGCCUAUAGUCCCAGCUACUUGGGAGGCUGAGGCAGAAGAAUUGCUUGAACCCAGUAGAUGGAGGUUAUGGUGAGCCGAGAUUGCGCCACUGCACUCCAGCCUGGCAACAGAGUGAGACUCUGUCUCAAAAAAUAAAAAAUAAAAUAAAAUUAGGUGGGCGCCUUUAAUCCCAGCUACUUGGGAGGCUGAGGCAGGAGAAUGACUUGAAACCGGAAGGCGGAGGUUGCAGUGAGCUGAGAUCGCGCCACUGCACUCCAGCCUGGGCAACAAGAGCGAAACUCUGUCUCAAAAAAACAAAACAAAACAAAAACAAACUCAGAAACAUCAUAGCAUUUUCUGAUAUAAAUGACUGGAAGAAAUCUGUGUAUAUUUAUAUGUUAUAAUGGUAUAAAUAUAGUAUAUUAGUUGGUAUUUAGAUCAGUUAUUACAGCAUUAGGCUAGAAUGUUUGGUAAAUGGUACAUAAAGCAUGAUACUGUUUAUAAACAUUUUCCAAAAGCUCAUUACCAAAUAUUGUUAAUAAAUGUAUAUGUGUAUUCUCUUCUGUCUCUCUCUCCCUCAUAAAACUGUACAAAAUGAACUAGCAGGGAGCAGAAAGUAACUACUACUGGAAAGCAGGAAAGAGAUUGGCUCUCAGGACAUACUUUUCAGGGAAUAUGGAGCUAUUUUUUGUAAUAUUAGCAGUUUUCAUUUAUGAGGGAUAAAUGUUAAAAUACUCUUUGUUCUGUAAUGUAUUGUUUGAAUUAAAAAUACUGUAUACAGUUGAACAUAAUCCUGAGCAGAGCAAUCCAUGAUUACUAAACGUUAAUUAAAUUUGUCACUUCAGAUAAGAAAUUUUUGAAGGUCUUUGUUUUGUAUAUUAUUUGUAUACACAAACUGCUAAAUGUUAUUACUUAAUAUUUGUUACAAUAAACAUUUCUGGGUAUUAUCCAA
rnacentral:lncRNA from 1 species